rnacentral:rRNA from 1 species
UACGGAGGGGCAAGCGUUGUUCGGAAUUACUGGGCGUAAAGGGCGCGCAGGCGGCUGCUCAAGUCAGGCGUGAAAGGCCUGGGCUCAACCCGGGAAUUGCGCUUGAGACUGGGCUGGCUUGAGUGCGGGAGAGGAUGGUGGAAUUCCCAGUGAGAGGUGAAAUUCGUAGAUAUUGGGAAGAACACCGGUGGCGAAGGCGGCCAUCUGGACCGCAACUGACGCUGAGGCGCGAAAGCGGUGGGGAGCAAACAGGG